GUGUCCAUAGUUCAGUUUGGUUAGAACGCCAGGUUGUGGCCCUGGAGGUCGUGGGUUCGAGUCCCACUGGACACC
rnacentral:tRNA from 1 species